CCUACGGGAGGCUGCAGUGAGGAAUAUUGGUCAAUGGGCGUAAGCCUGAACCAGCCAAGUCGCGUGAGGGAUGAAGGUUCUAUGGAUCGUAAACCUCUUUUAUCAGGGAAUAAAGUGCGGGACGUGUCCCGUUUUGUAUGUACCUUAUGAAUAAGCAUCGGCUAACUCCGUGCCAGCAGCCGCGGUAAUACGGAGGAUCCGAGCGUUAUCCGGAUUUAUUGGGUUUAAAGGGUGCGUAGGCGGCCUUUUAAGUCAGCGGUGAAAAUCUGGGGCUCAACCACAGAAUUGCCGUUGAAACUGGGAGGCUUGAGUUGGUUUGAGGCAGGCGGAAUGCGUGGUGUAGCGGUGAAAUGCAUAGAUAUCACGCAGAACCCCGAUUGCGAAGGCAGCCUGCCAGGGCCUGACUGACGCUGAGGCACGAAAGCGUGGGGAUCGAACAGGAUUAGAUACCCUUGUAGUC
rnacentral:rRNA from 1 species